rnacentral:tRNA from 1 species
GUUUUAAUAGUUUAAAUUAAAAAUAAUGGUCUUGUAAACCAUAGAUAGAAAUAAUCUUUAAAACU